rnacentral:rRNA from 1 species
UGGUAGGAGAGCGUUCUAUUUGCGUCGAAGGUAUACCGGUAAGGAGUGCUGGAGCGAAUAGAAGUGAGCAUGCAGGCAUGAGUAGCGAUAAUUAAUGUGAGAAUCAUUAACGCCGUAAACCCAAGGUUUCCUACGCGAUGCUCGUCAUCGUAGGGUUAGUCGGGUCCUAAGUCGAGUCCGAAAGGGGUAGACGAUGGCAAAUUGGUUAAUAUUCCAAUACCAACAUUAGUGUGCGAUGGAAGGACGCUUAGGGCUAAGGGGGCUAGCGGAUGGAAGUGCUAGUCUAAGGUCGUAGGAGGUUAUACAGGCAAAUCCGUAUAACAAUACUCCGAGAACUGAAAGGCUUUUUGAAGUCUUCGGAUGGAUAGAAGAACCCCUGAUGCCGUCGAGCCAAGAAAAGUUUCUAAGUUUAGCUAAUGUUGCCCGUACCGUAAACCGACACAGGUGGGUGGGAUGAGUAUUCUAAGGCGCGUGGAAGAACUCUCUUUAAGGAACUCUGCAAAAUAGCACCGUAUCUUCGGUAUAAGGUGUGGUUCGCUUCGUAUUAGGAUUUACUCCGAAAGCGAAGAAACUUACAACAAAGAGUCCCUCCCGACUGUUUACCAAAAACACAGCACUCUGCUAACUCGUAAGAGGAUGUAUAGGGUGUGACGCCUGCCCGGUGCUCGAAGGUUAAUUGAUGGGGUUAGCAUUAGCGAAGCUCUUGAUCGAAGCCCGAGUAAACGGCGGCCGUAACUAUAACGGUCCUAAGGUAGCGAAAUUCCUUGUCGGUUAAAUACCGACCUGCAUGAAUGGCGUAACGAGAUGGGAGCUGUCUCAAAGAGGGAUCCAGUGAAAUUGUAGUGGAGGUGAAAAUUCCUCCUACCCGCGGCAAGACGGAAAGACCCCGUGGACCUUUACUACAGCUUGACACUGCUAUUUGGAUAAGAAUGUGCAGGAUAGGUGGGAGGCUUUGAGUAUAUGACGCCAGUUGUAUAUGAGCCAUUGUUGAGAUACCACUCUUUCUUAUUUGGGUAGCUAACCAGCUUGAGUUAUCCUCAAGUGGGACAAUGUCUGGUGGGUAGUUUGACUGGGGCGGUCGCCUCCCAAAUAAUAACGGAGGCUUACAAAGGUUGGCUCAGAACGGUUGGAAAUCGUUCGUAGAGUAUAAAGGUAUAAGCCAGCUUAACUGCAAGACAUACAAGUCAAGCAGAGACGAAAGUCGGUCUUAGUGAUCCGGUGGUUCUGUGUGGAAGGGCCAUCGCUCAAAGGAUAAAAGGUACCCCGGGGAUAACAGGCUGAUCUCCCCCAAGAGCUCACAUCGACGGGGAGGUUUGGCACCUCGAUGUCGGCUCAUCGCAUCCUGGGGCUGGAGCAGGUCCCAAGGGUAUGGCUGUUCGCCAUUUAAAGCGGUACGCGAGCUGGGUUCAGAACGUCGUGAGACAGUUCGGUCCCUAUCUGCCGUGGGCGUAAGAAGAUUGAAGAGAUUUGACCCUAGUACGAGAGGACCGGGUUGAACAAACCACUGGUGUAGCUGUUGUUCUGCCAAGAGCAUCGCAGCGUAGCUAAGUUUGGAAAGGAUAAACGCUGAAAGCAUCUAAGCGUGAAGCCAACUCUAAGAUGAAUCUUCUCUAAGCUCUCUAGAAGACUACUAGUUUGAUAGGCUGGGUGUGUAAUGGAUGAAAGUCCUUUAGCUGACCAGUACUAAUAGAGCGUUUGGCUUAUCUUUAAUAAAGCAU